rnacentral:tRNA from 1 species
UGAAUAGAAGCUCUAAGCAGCAAUUAGUUGUUAACUAAAAAGGGAUAAGAAUUUUAUCUAUUCA